rnacentral:rRNA from 1 species
UGGGGAAUUUUGGACAAUGGGCGAAAGCCUGAUCCAGCAAUGCCGCGUGUGUGAAGAAGGCCUUCGGGUUGUAAAGCACUUUUGUCCGGAAAGAAAUCCUUGGCUCUAAUGCAGUCGGGGGAUGACGGUACCGGAGGAAUAAGCACCGGCUAACUACGUGCCAGCAGCCGCGGUAAUACGUAGGGUGCAAGCGUUAAUCGGAAUUACUGGGCGUAAAGCGUGCGCAGGCGGUUUGCUAAGACCGAUGUGAAAUCCCCGGGCUCAACCUGGGAACUGCAUUGGUGACUGGCAGGCUAGAGUAUGGCAGAGGGGGGUAGAAUUCCACGUGUAGCAGUGAAAUGCGUAGAGAUGUGGAGGAAUACCGAUGGCGAAGGCAGCCCCCUGGGCCAAUACUGACGCUCAUGCACGAAAGCGUGGGGAGCAAACAGGAUUAGAUACCCUGGUAGUCCACGCCCUAAACGAUGUCAACUAGUUGUUGGGGAUUCAUUUCCUUAGUAACGUAGCUAACGCGUGAAGUUGACCGCCUGGGGAGUACGGUCGCAAGAUUAAAACUUAAAUGAAUUGACGGGGU